CUGCUGCCUUCCGUAGGAGUUUGGACCGUGUCUCAGUUCCAAUGUGGGGGACCUUCCUCUCAGAACCCCUACGCAUCGUCGGCUUGGUGGGCCGUUGCCCCACCAACUACCUAAUGCGCCGUAUGCCCAUCCGUGACCGGGGUCGCCCCCUUUGGCCGGCAGGGGAUGUCCCCUCCCGGCAUUAUGUUGUAUUAGGCGGGAUUUCUCCCGGUUAUCCAUCUGUCACGGCCAGGUUGCAUACGUGUUACUCACCCGUGCGCCGGUCGCCGGCGG
rnacentral:rRNA from 1 species